rnacentral:rRNA from 1 species
GAGUUUGAUCCUGGCUCAGAGCGAACGCUGGCGGCAUGCUUAACACAUGCAAGUCGCACGGUAUGGGGGCAACUCCAUGCAGUGGCGGACGGGUGAGUAACGCGUAGGAAUCUAUCCUUGGAUGGGGGACAACCGUGGGAAACUACGGCUAAUACCGCAUGAUGCCUGAGGGCCAAAGCUCGUGAGAGCGUCUGGGGAGGAGCCUGCGUCUGAUUAGGUAGUUGGUGGGGUAAAGGCCUACCAAGCCUGCGAUCAGUAGCUGGUCUGAGAGGAUGAUCAGCCACAUUGGGACUGAGACACGGCCCAAACUCCUACGGGAGGCAGCAGUGGGGAAUAUUGGACAAUGGGGGCAACCCUGAUCCAGCAAUGCCGCGUGGGUGAAGAAGGUUUUCGGAUUGUAAAGCCCUUUUGGCGGGGACGAUGAUGACGGUACCCGCAGAAUAAGCUCCGGCUAACUUCGUGCCAGCAGCCGCGGUAAUAC